CCUACGGGAGGCAGCAGUAGGGAAUCUUCCGCAAUGGACGAAAGUCUGACGGAGCAACGCCGCGUGAACGAUGAAGGCCUUCGGGUCGUAAAGUUCUGUUGUUAGGGAAGAACAAGUGCUAGUUGAAUAAGCUGGCACCUUGACGGUACCUAACCAGAAAGCCACGGCUAACUACGUGCCAGCAGCCGCGGUAAUACGUAGGUGGCAAGCGUUGUCCGGAAUUAUUGGGCGUAAAGCGCGCGCAGGCGGUUUCUUAAGUCUGAUGUGAAAGCCCCCGGCUCAACCGGGGAGGGUCAUUGGAAACUGGGAAACUUGAGUGCAGAAGAGGAAAGUGGAAUUCCAAGUGUAGCGGUGAAAUGCGUAGAGAUUUGGAGGAACACCAGUGGCGAAGGCGACUUUCUGGUCUGUAACUGACGCUGAGGCGCGAAAGCGUGGGGAGCAAACAGGAUUAGAUACCCUGGUAGUCCACGCUGUAAACGAUGAGUGCUAAGUGUUAGAGGGUUUCCGCCCUUUAGUGCUGAAGUUAACGCAUUAAGCACUCCGCCUGGGGAGUACGGUCGCAAGACUGAAACUCAAAGGAAUUGA
rnacentral:rRNA from 1 species